GGGGGUGACUGGUUUCGACAGGGUGGGUUUGAGAUGGGCAGCAGGCCGUGGUCUCCUCGCCACGUUAAACAGGGGUACCGUCAAAUGAAUUGACGACAACUCUUAUCAGGGCUAUGCCCUCGCUGCCUAACUAGUUGUGCAGCCGCUGAACCGGGGAUUGCUCCCGUCGCCGGGGACGCGUCAUGUAAGGGAGAUGCUCCGCGGGACGUAGUCGGUAUGCCCAAGGAAAAGACCGAACCGACUGGGGCGCCAAGCGCGGGCCGUCAGGUGCGCGGCGCCUAAGACCUAACUGACGACUGAGCCUGGAGACACCUGUCAGGGAUCUGCUUUGGACCGGAGUUCGAUUCUCCGCACCUCCACC
rnacentral:tmRNA from 1 species